rnacentral:lncRNA from 1 species
AGCCUGAUAACUCCUUUUUCAUGAACCAACAAGAUUGAAACCCAAAGACCACACGUAAAUUGAAAACUUGAACUCUUCCCUACCCUUGGUCCUUUAAUACAUUAUGAAAUAAACAUUAGGCCAUAAAUAUUGAGGGUUUAGGUAGAUACAUCACGGUGGUUUAAAAAAAGGAGUGAAAAAUGAAGAAACAAUGUGAUACAUUGAUUAUAGGUCAAAAAAAUGUGCGAAAAAGAAAAAUCCAAAAAAAAAAAAGUCAAAAGUAAAAAUGAGAAGAAAAAUUAUAGAAUGGAAACAAAAGCAUUGUGACUGAGAAAAGAGUAAAAGUUCAAGUGACAAAAUAAUAAGUUACAAAAAUGAGAGAAAACUAAAUCACCAAAG